UACGUAGGGUGCAGGCGUUAAUCGGAAUUACUGGGCGUAAAGCGUGCGCAGGCGGUCUUUUAAGUCAGAUGUGAAAUCCCCGGGCUUAACCUGGGAACUGCGUUUGAAACUGAAAGGCUAGAGUGUGGCAGAGGGGGGUGGAAUUCCACGUGUAGCAAUGAAAUGCGUAGAGAUGUGGAGGAACACCGAUGGCGAAGGCAGCCCCCUGGGCUAACACUGACGCUCAUGCACGAAAGCGUGGGGAGCAAACAGG
rnacentral:rRNA from 1 species